AGACAAGCCUGCCACUAUUCGUAAUCCUUCUUGCUUCUGCUGGCGAAUCCUUCCAAGGCAGGCAGGCAGGCAGCAGCAGCUGGGGUGGAGGGACUGCUGUCCUGAUGAAGGGGAGCUGAGUGCUGGCUUUGCUGUGCUCUGGAAUUAUUACCUGUAAAAUCUACUGGUGGAGUCACUCCAUUAUUCUUAUCUGUGGAGAUCUAGAUCUUGAUUUGAAAGUUUCUGAGAAAAUCUUCAGCUCAGACUUGAGGGUCAACUUUACCAGCUGAAGGAUCUGCAUUUACUGCUCAACCACAUCUAAUUUGAUGUCCUCUGCAGAUUUAAAAUGUGUGCCUUCUUUUCCGUCACCAAGUCAUCCCUGGGUUACUACUGAACAUCCUUCUCAAUUCCCCCCGACCCAUGGAUGGCUGUUCUCCAUUGUCUGUUUCACCAGAUGUCCUCAAAACAAACAGACAGAAGAAGGAAGUGGCUAAUGGAGCUGUGGAGUCCAAGUGUGACUGCCAAGAGGAAUCCAGCAAAGCCAAAAAGCCCAAGCAUGUAGCCCUGCCCGAAGCACGCCACACGCAUGGAAAACCCAGAGGAAAUGAGUGAGGAUCAAUGGGAAGAAGAGAGCCAGCCAGGAAGUUGAAGAUUUGUCCAGGAGCAGAUAGCUGAAGAGAGAGAGAGAGAAGAGAGAACGGCUUACAGCUCAGGUCCUCUCUCCAUGCUUAGGAACCACUACAAAUGCUACUGCCUUGAGUCUCAUUUUGUUUCCCUCUGGAAACCACAUGUGUACCUUGUUUGCAACAGUAUGGUUCUGGAGACCAGAAGGCCAAAAUCAAAAGUAUGGGCAGGCUUGAUUUCUUUAGAAGACUCCAGCGGAGAACUGUGUCUCCUUGCUUCUGAUUCUACAUCUCCAUCCAUGGGCCACUGUUUCAGCAACCUCAGCCAGUGCAACACAACCUCAGCCAAGAAGAGUAUGCAGAGAAAGGAGUCCCCUACCUGCCACAAAACUGUUGUCUGAAAACUGUCUCAUAUUGUCUCAAGUUGUCAUUCAUUGUGAAUUAGACCUGUUUAACAUGUAAUCUGCAACAUGCUUCACUGUCUAAUUUUCCAGAGCCCCUCAUAUAAGGAACUGUAUUAUUGGUAUAAUCAUCAUGGUGAAGAAGUUGGUAUGUGGGGGAGAGAUGACAGAAACAGAGAGUAAGUCAGAGCUGGCUGCCUGACAGAUAAAAAGGAAAUGACCAAAAAAAAAAAAAAAGACACAGAAGAAUACUUUGUUGUCCACACAGAAAAGGGAAGUGUAGGUAAGACAGCAGUAGACUAAGAUUCUUAAGACUCAAGUUCUAGUCUUAUUUAUUAGCUAUGGGAGGCCUUGAGGGAGUUCUAGAAUUAAGUGAUCUCUCUUUAUAAAAUAGGAACAGUAAUAACUUCCUGGCUAACUCCCUGGCUGUCUCACAAUGCUGUAGUAGUAAGAAAUAAUUUUAUAAUUAAAGACUAUUUUAGGGCUGAUUACAUUUUUGGGCAGUGGCUCAUACAUGUAAUUUCAACAUUUUGGGAGGCCAAGGUGGGCGGAUUGCUUGAGCCCAGGAAUUCAAGACCAGGCUGGGCAACACAGACCUUGUCACUACAAAAGAAAAAAACAUUAGCUAGGCGUGGUGAUGUAUGCCUGUGGUCCCAGCUACUCAGGAAGCUGAGACAGGAGGAUCACCUGAGCCUGGGAGGUCGAGGCUACAGUGAGCCAUGAUCACACUACUGCACUCCAGCCUGGGAAACAGAGUGAGACUCUGUCUCAAAAAAAAAAAAAAAGGAAUAUUUUACACUUCAAGGUUCUAUACAAAUGUAAAAUAUCAUUCUAUUACUUAUUUAUAAUGCUGAUUAUUCUUUAAAUGACUUUAAAAUGUUAAUCUCUGCUUGAGCCUACGGAGAAGUAUGUAACAAAUUUGUGAAGGAUUGGCAUUAAACAUAGUCAAAAUAAAACAUAGAAA
rnacentral:lncRNA from 1 species